rnacentral:tRNA from 1 species
AAAGUUUUAGUUUAAUUAAAACAACCCUUUGUCAAAGGGUAAAUAUAUAAUUAUAAACUUUUC